UUUUCGCAGUACCGAACCUUACACAUGGAGCUCUAGUCAUACCAUCUUUCAAUAGAACACUUGUAGCUCCACCAGACAAAUGAAUAGCCUUACAGCCCCUAUUAGUGCUAGCCACCAAGCACCCUUCCGUGGUUGCCAUAGGAACCGAGUACUCUCUUCCAUUAACCAACAAAGGCCCGGAAAUUCCAACGGGAAUUUGCACGUAGCCAACCGGCAUCUCACAACACUGCCCCAAAAUCGACUCGUAAUCAAACCCAUCCAAGGGCAAUCCUGAUAACGACUUCCCUGUUAAUCUUUGCAACGCUUCCCGCCUGAUUGCGGCCGCCCUCUUGCAAUCACCCAAUUUCGAUUCCAAGGAAUACGAAGGGGUUGUUCCAGCAACUACAGAUUUAAUUAUUUCUUCAUCUUCCUCCGUUAGUACCGUCACAGGCUUUUCAUCGAACACUUUCUGGGCAGUCACGAUUGGUGCCGCAGGAGGCAAAGGAGGAAGCAAGCAAUCAAGAGCUUGUCCGCAAGGGACCUUACGGGCAUCCUCUUUUGCAAGCAAAACUUCGUUUUCCUCUUCCUCGUCUUCGGCAAUCCAAUCGUCAGACGAUGGCCGGAAAACCAAAGAUUGAACGAAGUCAAGCCCAAAGAAACCCAAAAGGUAAAUAAACGAUGCGAAAAACGCGAGAAUCGCGAUGAUCUCAGAAAAGGUGACGACAUGGAGAGGCGUGGAGGUACGGAUCUUCUCACGCCAACGGGAAAGAAGGAAAUAAACCACCGAGAAGAAGAGGGUAAAGAACACCGCAUUCGUCAGAUGAAAAGGAAGCGGCAAUGCGUCGGAGGCUUUAGUGGGAUCUUCCUCUAAAGGAAUCUUCUUCGUGGGCUUGAGAGAUUGAACUCGUUUAGUCGAAUACAGCCGGGGAGCCUCCAUUUUGGGUGUCGACGGCGGCGGAAACCCGGCGGUGGAGGAGGAGAAUAGAAGAGGAAUGAAAGUAAGAGAUGAUUUCAGUUAGUUUUACGAUUAUGGUGAAGGUGGAGCUUGAGAUGCUAGAGUUUAGGGAGGGAAGGGGAGUAUUUAUAGGAUAAAGAGUAAAGAGAGCGUGAGGAAAAAGGCGCGUGAAGUGAAGAUGGGGCAGUGUUUGGCACUUGUUAGUGUGGAGCUUUACCAAGAGAAGAGUCAAAGAAAGAAUUAUAGGGAUAGUGUUUGGAAGCGUGCAGUGCAUGGGAGCAACGUCGUCAGCACAUCCUGGCUGCUUCAUUUUCAUUUAGGGUAAACUACACAAUCAGUCACUAAAGUAUGGGUACGUUUUUGUUUUGAUCACUGAACUAAAAAAGUUACAAUUUUGUUACUGAACUAUUCAAAAGUUUCCAUUUAAGUCACUGAGCUGUUAAAAUCGAUGCUACACAGCUUUUUCUCUUCACACUGCCUACAUGAAUCGGAAGUUCUCUUUCCCUUUCUUUUUUACGAUUCAAUUUUUUUCUACAACUUUUUUCUUCGUUAGAAAAUGACCUUCAGAUCGACUUGAAUCUAAGAUAUGUUCUUUUACUUGCUAAUGGGUAUUGAUCCACUGUACCAGUCGUUGAGUCGUCACUUGGAGCUCGUUGACAGAAUUUUUAAAAAAAAAUAGUUAACAACCUAGUGACUUAAACAAUUUUUUUUGAAUAGUUCAAUGACUUAAAUGAAAAAUUUCAAAUAUUUUAGUGACCAAAUUGUAACUUUUUAGUUAAGUGACCAAAACGAAAACUUAUCCAUAAUUUAGUGACUAAUAAUAUAAUUUUCCAUUCAUUAUAUUUGGUCUUUCUCCCUAUUUUGAUAUUUUCUGUCACGUGUUUUUCAUUAUUGUAUGGGUUUAAUUAUUCCUUAUUUUGGGUUGUUUUUCAUAAUAAAUUAUCCAAAUAAAUAUUAACGCUGUUGUUAAGUUAUAUACAUUUUUGGGCAAAUGUCUAUUAAAAGAAAUAGAAAUGAAAGAAAGUCGUAUUUAUUAUUAGCAUAAUUUUUUUACCUUCCAAAUUUAUAAAAAAAUUAUUUAUUUUAUCUCUUUUAGUCUUUCAAUUUAUUUUUUUAUCAAAUUAUUUCAAAAUGAAUUAAAAAGUUAAAAUUCUUUAACUUUGUUGAUGUUACAUACACGUGGAUUACCAUCUAGAUAACACAUAAAUAUUUAAAAUCUUAAAAACAUUAACAAAUAUAUAUUUUUAUAAUUUUAUACUUUUAUAAUACUUUUAUUGGUUUUUAAAUUUUAAAAAUAGUUUUUAAAAAUAUAUUUUUAAAAUUUUAAAUUUAAAAAAAUUAAUUAAAUACCGGCGUGUUAUCCACGUGACAAUGCACGUGUAUUCAAGUAAGCAAAGUUAAACAACAUCAACUUUUUCAUUCAUUUUGAGGUAAUUUGAUAAAAAAAUUAGUUUAAGAGCUAAAAAAGGACAAAAUUAAAUAGAAAACUAAAAUGACAUUUUUUUGUAAAGUUAAAGAAUCAAAUAAAUUAUUAUGCCUUUAUUAUUUAAUAAAAUUUAUGCAAAGUAGGACUUUGACUUGAAUUCAUAAUUAAUUUUGAUUUUUUCCUUUUGCUCGUAAUUAAUUGGAUAAGUUUAUAAUUUAAAUUAAUAUGUAAAAAAAUUAAAAUAUAGAGCUUUCACAGCUCAUUUUUCCUUUUUAGAUUAUUAUUUUUUUGCAUGUUUAUUAAAUUAAAGUUCAAAUUUGACAUUUUUAAUAUUUUAAUAUAAUCAAAUUAGACCUAUUUUAUAUUAAAUAAAAUCUAACCCAUUCUUUAAUCCUUAAUUUUCACGUUUCUGUAUUUUUUUCCCAUCAAUUCAAGCAGCCUCUUGCUCUGUAGUCAUAUGUAUGUAUAUAUGACAAUAAUUAUUAUUCGGUUUACGUGGACUUUUAUACAAUAAUGAAGAUUUUUUUUAGGGUAAAUUAUUAAAACAUCAUUUCAAAAAUCAAGUGUAAUAAACAAAAUCCUUAAUCCAAUAAUAAUAAUAAUAAUAAAUUGGAUCUUUGAAUUAUCGUUUCUAUCACGACUCUUGAUAAUUAAUUACUGACAUGAUAAGUGAUGUGGUGGGUGACAUGAAACUUUUGAUGAUAUGGUGGUUGAUAUGGAGGACUUAAUUGAUUUUUGUUAUUAUUUUAGGAGGCUUAAUUGAUGUUUAAGGAUUAUAUAACAAUUCUUAAGAAAUUAUUGAAAAUUAUUAAAAAAACAAAAAUGGAAAGAAAAUAUUAAAAUUAUUAUAAAAUUUUAGCUAAAAGUUAUUAAAAUAUUUAAAAAAUGUUGAAAAUUAUACAACUAUAGAAUUUAUUAAAUAUCAUAAAAUUUUAAAACUAUUAUUAAUAUGUUAUGAAAAUAAUGGAAAUAUUAAAUUAAUAUUAUAAAAAAUUUAGAAAUGAUAGGAAAUGAUAUAAAAACAAUUAAAAUGAUAAAAAAAUAAAAAUAAAAAUUAUUGAAAGUAUAAAAAAUUUGAGUUAAGGUAGUGAUUGUAUAGACGAUAAAAAUUUUAUAUGCUUAAAAGUUAAUGACAUGGUUUAUUCUAUUCGUGCCUAAAAACAUUAAUUUAUAAAAUAAUUUAUUUUUAUAAAUAUUAAUAUAUACACUUUUUUAGAUUGAUAUGAUAGAAAAAUCGAAUCGAUUAAAAAUUUUACAAUAAAAUGAUUUAAAAAAAAAAUAAAGAAUGUUUUUUGGGCUACGUAAAAGAAUAUUGAUCACUCUAUAAGACUGGUUUUUUAUAUCCUUUUGCAUAUAUUUUAGUAGAUAAGGGAGAAAUUAUUUUCUUUACGCCUCUGGUUUCUAUACGGCUGAAAUUUUCAUUCAGUCAAUGACAUGAAUUUCAAAAUAGGAUGCCUAUUUAAUUUUUAUAAAUACAAAUGAUUGUACCCAAAUAUAAUAAUUUGCAUGCGUAUAUAUAUUUGAAUAAUUUCUGAUAGUUCUCUUUAAUAUUACUUAUAGUCUAUUCCCAGCUCAUAAAUAGGAGGAUAAUGUGAUUCAGCAUACUCAAACCCACGUCAUCUUGCAUUGAAAACAAUAAUCAUACUAAUCGAACUAAGACUCAAUCAACAAUUUGCAUAAUUCAUGCAAUUGGUGAUUAUUAUAAAACAACAUUCAAUAAAUAUUAAUAUUCAAAUGUUAAAUUUAUAAUUGUUUGUGCUAUUUUAGGUUCCAACAAGUUAAAAAUUCGUGUUGGGUUAGUUUUUUUUAUAUAUAUGUUUCUGGAGAUCUGUUAAAGGAUGCAGUCAAUUAUCAGGAGUCACUCUCGAAGGGUCUUAUCAUAUAAUAGAACACAAUAAUGGUAUUUGUUAAAAUUGGAAUCUAAGAUGGUGAAAAGGAGGAUAGCCACCUUUGACUUAACCUUUUGUACAUUAUGGAUGCGAUGAGUCUCUUGAUUGAUCGAAGUUUAUUGUCAGCCUUUUGUACAUCACAGAUGCAGUGAGUCUCUUGACAGAUAUUUCUUGGUUGACUGGAGUUUAUUGUCAGGUUGGUUUGAUGAUGGCACGAUUAAGAUACAAUUUUCAAUGGUUUGAUCAAGAUGGUACAUUUUUUGUUUGUUUUUGAAUUCUUUUAGAGUUACGAAUAUUUUACAAACAUAUAACAUAUGAGCAUCAAUUUAUAAUUUAUUAUAUCCCAUAUUUUUAUAUUCUUAUUAUUCAUGAUUGCUAUUAAUGAUAUGUUUUCUUUGUACAUAUAUGAAAUAGACGAUAAGAUUGAAGUAAUUUCUUUUUCCAAAAUAAUAAGCAUGCAUGAGAAUUGUUCAUCGCCAUGUGCUAAAGACUUGGACUGUUUGUCAAAGUUCUCUUCAAAAAAAUCAUAUAACUCACAAUGAAAGUUUAUAUAUAUAUAUAUAUAUAUAUAUAUAUAAGCAUAGUCAGGCCAACCAAUGUAGAAAAAAACUAACAUGAUAUCAUCUUUUCUUAUUGCCCAGUAUUUAUUUAGCAAAUAUUGACUGUAAUAUUGUCAUGAUUAGACCAUAUUAUUUUUGGACAAGAACAAGGUCAUUUCCAGUAAAUUCAAAAUAAAAUAUUAACUUAGUUUUAAAAUUAGAUUAAAAAGACAAUGUAACCCAAAAAGUUCAAAUAAGCCCCUAUUUUAAUAAAAUCAGUAGGUUCAAAUUUAAAAUUUCGAACAAAAUUAGGUGUCUAUAUAGAUAUUUUGUUAAAUACCAAAAUUUCCAAUGAAUUAUCAAAAUUUCUAAACUUAUACCAGAAUACCAAAAUUUCUAAAGUAAUAGUUGAUAUACCAAAGAUAUUACGUUAUAUGCCACAAUUUUAAGGGAAUACCAAUAUUUCUAAGCAAUCUCAUUAGAAAUUUUGGUAUACCAAAUCAUGUUACACAAACUUUUACCAAAAUUUCUAAGAGUUCAACAUUUUAGAUCACAAUUUCAAAGUAAAUAUCAAUAUUUCUAAGGAACCUCAUUAGAAAUUUUGGUAUACCAAAAUCAUGUUGCACAAGCCUAUACCAAGAUUUUUAAUGAAAUGCUAAAAUUUCUAAGCGCAUAUCUUUAGAUAUUUUGGUAUACCCAAAUCGCGUUAUAGAAGCUUUUACCAAAAUUUCUAAAAGAAUAGUAAUAUUUCUAAGGAACCUUGCUAGAAAUUUUGGUAUAUCAAAAUCAUGUUACACAAGCCUAUACCAAAAUUUUCUAGUGAAAUACCAAAACUUCUAAGCACAUAUCUUUAGAUAUUUUAGUAUAUGCUUCAAUUUCUAAGGGUACCAAUAUUUCUAUGGAACUUUGUCAAAAAUUUUGGUAUGCCAAAAUCAUUUUACACAAGAUUUUACCAAAAUUUCUUAGAGCUUAACCUUAGAUAUUUUGGUAUGUAGCGCAAUUCUUAAGGGAAUAUCAAUAUUUCUAAACAACCUCGUUAGAAAUUUUGGAAUACUAAAAUUAUGUUACACAAGCCUAUAUUAAUAUCUUUAAUGAAAUAUUGAAGUUUUUAAGAGCUUAUCCUUAGAUGUUUUGACAUAUACCACUUUUUGUAAGGGAAUACCAAUAUUUCUAUAGAACUCUGUUAAAAAUUUUAGUAUACCGAAAUCUAGAUUUACAAACUUAUAUCAAGAAUUCUAACAAAAUACCAAUAUUUCUAAUAGCAUAUCCUUAAAUAAUUUGAUAUAUUCCAAAAUUUAUAAUGGAAGACCAAAAUUUCUAUAACUUUCAAUGAACUACAGUUCUUGGUAAAUCUAUAUACCUAUAUAUAUAUAUAUAUAUAUGAAAGGAAAAACAUCCUCCUUUUCUUGAUAGAUGGCACACCUAAAAUCAAUGGCGGACGUUAUAGAUGGCACACCUACAAUCAAUGGCGGAGUCAAGUAGAGGCUUAGGGGACCAUGACCUCCCAAAGUUUAAUUUUUUUUAAUUUAGUCCUUUGUAAAUAUACUAUGGCCCUUCCUAAAAUAUAAGUAGAUCCUCCUAAAGUUUAAGAUUUUUGCAAUUUCCCCCUUUAUAUAUAUUAUGGUUCUCCUAAAAAUAUAAAUACUCCCCUCCAAUAUUUUUAUAGUAUUAAAAAUAAAAUUAAAAAAAUUAUUCUUGAUAAAAACAAAGAAAAAUAUUCUUGAAGAUGCUAAAUUACUCAUGAUGACUUUUGAAUGAUAUUUUUGUUAAAAAAUAAUAAAUCAAUUGUUAUAUUGAAAUACUCCUUCUUUUGAAUUGAUUGUUUAUAUGUUUAAAUCGAUUGUUACGUAACACGUCUAAUUUUAGCAUGAUCCCCUCCAAAAUUAACAUCUUGGCUCCGCCACUGCCUACAAUACUCCUUUUAUUUUGCAUUCAAUAAAAAAAGUUAAAUUUCAAUUUCGGUUCAUCUAAUAUGCCUAAACUUGAGAUUUAAUAUAUAUACUUUAAUUUCUAACAUAAUUUGGUUUCUAUAUAUUAUUAUAAUAUUAUUAAUCAGUUCAAAUAGUUAAUAUUAUUCACUUUUCAAUUAAAAUAUUAUAUGGUUAUAUAUAAUUUGAAUACCUUAAUAGUCUUGGAGGCUAACAUACAGCUUUUUGUUUCAUUUAAGUUCGUGUCAUUUUUUUAACAUUAUAAGAUAAUGGUCAAAUUUUAUUUUUGGCCUCUAGACUAUGUUAAAACUUGAGAUUAAUCUAUAUACUUUAAUAUUUUACAUAAUUUGGGCUAUCUACUUUUAUAAUGUCAUUAGCUGGUCUAAAUAAUUAAUAUUAUUAACUAUUUUAAUUAAAAUGUUGGGUAAAUUUUUCUUAAGAACAUUAUUUCAAGAAGAAAAAAAUUAUUUUAUCGAAUUUAAAUGAGUGUUUUUAAGAGAAACUCCUAAUCAAUAUUUUUAACAUUAUUUUUAUUGUUACAUGACUAUUAAGGGAAUCUUUUUAUUUUAAAAUGUCCACCAGAGAAUUUAAUAUAAUAAUUUUAUCGAUGGUAACAAUUGAGCUAAAAUUUUUAAUUUGAAAAGUAGAUAAUUAUGUUCUUAAAAAUAAAAGUAAGACUAAAUUUCAAAUGAACAAAGUGUAUCAGGUCUUAGAGUAUAUUUUAAUCUUCAAAUUUUUACUUUAUAAUUUCACACAAAUAAAUAAUCAACUUAACGUGAAGCAUGAGAUGAGAACCUUAUUAGUAUUUUUCAAAAGUUGCUUAAUGCGCUUUAAAAGUUAUCAAGUAUUUUACAUUAAGGCAAAAAAAAAGAGAGAGAGUAAACUACACUCAAUUUCACUAAACUACUAGUAAAUUUACAUUUAGGUUACUCAACUUCAGAAAGUUAUAAAAUGAUCAUUGAACUAUUUGAAAGUUUUCAUUUAACUUGGCGGACUGUUAAAAUCAUUGAUGUAUGGCCUUUCCUAUUUGCAUCGCAAACACCAAUUGAAAGCUUUCCUUCCCUUUCUCUUCUACAUUUCAAUUUUUUUUCAUGAAAUAACUUUGAACGUGACAAAUCUGUAAACAAAAAUCUAAACAGCUUUCUUCUUUAAUCUCUAACACUAAUCGUCAGAUCAACUUGAAUAUAAUGCAUGUUCUUCUACUCAUCAAUUGGUACAGAUCCAUCGUACUGAUCGUUGAACCAUUGCUUGGAGCUCGCUAGCUUGGCCUUUUAAAAAAAAAAAAACCCUUUAUAACCCAAUGACUUAAAUGAGAGUGACCAUUCUGUAAUAUUUUGAAGUUGAGUGAUUUGAAUAUAAACCUACUAAUAGUUAUCUUUGGUUUAGUUUACCCAAAAAUAUAUAUUAUAUAUAGUUAAUAUAUGUCAUAAGUCCCUAUACUAUUCAUAAAAUUGAAAUUUAAUCCAUCUUAAUUUCUAGAAAUUUAAUCCUAUACUUUAAAGAUUUUUCAAAAUUCAAAUUCAAUUGUUAACAUUGUUAAAAUUAUUUUAUUAAAUUCAUGUUCGUUAUAACAUUAUAUUUCUAUCAAGUGAGUUUUUUUUUAAAUGUCACGCCAAUAAAUUUUAAAAAAAAAUAAUGUUAACAAGUGUACCAAUAUUUUGAAAUCUCAAGAGUAGAAGAAUUAAAUUCUUGAAAAUAAAAAGCAUAAGAACUAAAUUUGAAAUUUAUGAAGAGUACAAUGAUUUAUGACAUAUAUAAACCUAUAUAUAAUAAAAGAAAGGAAAAAACAAAAAUACCAAAUAAAUACCAACAAGUGUUAAGGACAACAUAUCGCAUAGGAGACACAAGUUUAAAUUUUGAACACAAUAUAGUUAGGAGAAGCAGCCAUAAACCCAAACACAAACAGUAAAAGGGACAUUUAAAAUACCAAAAAAAUUACAAAAUAAAUAAAAAAAAACUACAAAGGGAAGUUUAUGCUGCAAGAGAUGAAACGCUGUGGACCAACUAAUUUUUACUCGUCAACUAAUUGGGUAUAGAUCCUUUGUUCCAUAUUCAUCAUCUACCAUUGUAAGAUAUGGCUUCCAAGGCCUCCCUGACGGUAUCAGAGUAAUUCUGUGCCUCUCUAAUGAAAUUAAUUGAUGACGGUUGGCCGGCUCGAAACACAACCUCAUUUCUCAUUUUCCGGAUAAUAAACAGACACCCAAAAGUUAAGACUGUAUCCUGAUCACUGAAGACAACCAGUGAGAGAUAUUAUACCGUGACAAUAAAUGGGAUGUACAUCUAAGCUAGACACAAGGAGAUAUGUCUCCUUAGUACUUUCUACCAUUGGAGAUUGCAACUUUACCCCCAAAUAUCAGACUAUCGUUACGUUUUCUCUAUGAAGAAGCCUUGGACACAUCCUUAGUUGACCUAUUGUACUUCAUAUGGCUCUUAACUAAUUGUCCUGCUGCAAUUGCAGACAUAAGCGACAGCUCCCCUGCAAGAACAGCAGACGCUACAAUGGUUGCCAGCGUCCUAGAGUUUGCUCCUGGUGUCUCUUUGCUUGCACCCUUCACUCCAAGUAAGUUCAAACAGGCUGAUUGAGAUGCAAGCUGAGUUCCACCACCAACAGUCCCAACCUAAAAGAUACAGCAACACAGAUUAUUAGAGACUAACAUAAAUACCCAGAUUUUGUUUUGGCAACGAAAGUCCUUGUGUUGGAUAAUCAGACAGCAACACUAUCAAUUACCUCGAUGGAAGGCAUUGUGACAGAGACGUGGAGGUCCUUUCCAUCAUUAACAGCUUCCAUCAUCGUGAUGCAAUGCGAGCUCUCGACAUUUUGAGCCGGAUCUUGGCCGGUAGCUAUGUAGAUUGCAGCAACGAUGUUACUGGCGUGAGCGUUGAAUCCACCCAGAGCUCCAGCCAUAGCUGAUCCAGUAAGGUUCUUAAGCAUGUUAAGCUCAACGAGAGAUUCCACACUUGUCUUCAAGACCUUCCUAACCACAUCACCCUUAAUGGUGGCUUCACAGACAACAGAUUUGCCUCGUCCUUCAAUCCAAUUUACCGCAGCCGGUUUUUUGUCGGAACAAUAGUUUCCUAUAUGCGCAAAUUCAUAAAUAUCAGUGAUCCUAUGUCGGAACAGUGAAAGACAUAAUUACAAGCCUAUACAAAAAACUGAAACUCACCAGAGAUGCCGAUGACAUCCAUGUCAGGGAAAUCAGUUUGAAGGAAAUCCAAAACGUUUUGCACUCCCUUGGAAACCAUGUUCAUCCCCAUAGCAUCACCUGUACUGCAAGUGAAUCUAAUAUACAGAUUCUUUCCAGCAAUUGCACAUUUGAUACCUUGGAGCCUGCCAAAUCUACUUGAUCUGCAACCACCAAAAAGCCAAAAUUUUCAAUAUUAGCUUGAAUUUUAAAUCCAUCAAUAUGGAGUUCUAGAAAUAUCAACACAAACCUGUUGAAAACAACAGACAAGGUCUCGAAAUUAUCAGGGUCCUCCAAAUACAACUUCAAAUCAGCUGCCCUUUUCGCAGUACCGAACCUUACACAUGGAGCUCUAGUCAUACCAUCUUUCAAUAGAACACUUGUAGCUCCACCAGACAAAUGAAUAGCCUUACAGCCCCUAUUAGUGCUAGCCACCAAGCACCCUUCCGUGGUUGCCAUAGGAACCGAGUACUCUCUUCCAUUAACCAACAAAGGCCCGGAAAUUCCAACGGGAAUUUGCACGUAGCCAACCGGCAUCUCACAACACUGCCCCAAAAUCGACUCGUAAUCAAACCCAUCCAAGGGCAAUCCUGAUAACGACUUCCCUGUUAAUCUUUGCAACGCUUCCCGCCUGAUUGCGGCCGCCCUCUUGCAAUCACCCAAUUUCGAUUCCAAGGAAUACGAAGGGGUUGUACCAGCCACUACAGAUUUAAUUAUUUCUUCAUCUUCCUCCGUUAGUACCGUCACAGGCUUUUCAUCGAACACCUUCUGAACGGUCACGAUUGGUGCCGCAGGAGGCAGAGGUGGAAGCGAACAAUCGAGAGCUUGCCCGCAAGGGACCUUACGGGCAUCUUCCUUUGCAAGCAGAACUUCAUCAUCCUCUUCCUCGUCCUCGGCAAUCCAAACGUCAGGCGAUGGUUGGAAAACCAAAGAUUGAACGAAGUCAAUCCCAAAGAAACCCAAAAGGUAAAUAAAGGACGCUAAAAAUGAGAGAAUGGCGAUGAUCUCGGAAAAGGUGACGACAUGGAGAGGUGUGGAGGUACGGAUCUUCUCACGCCAACGGGAAAGAAGAAAAUAAACCACCGAGAAGAAGAGGGUGAAGAACAGGGCAUUCGUUAGGUGCAAGGGAAGCGGCAAUGCGUCGGAGGCUUUACCGUGAUCUUCCUCUAAAGGAAUCUUCUUCGUUGGCUUGAGAGAUUGAACAGGUUUAGUCGAAUACAGCCGGGGAGCCUCCAUAUUGGGUGUCGACGGCGCGGAAGCCCGGCAGUGGAGAAGGAGAAUAGAAGAGGAGUGGAAGUGAGAGAGGAUUUCAGUUAGUUUUACGAUUAUGGUGAAGGUGGAGUUGGAGAUGCUGGAGUUUAGGGAGGGAAGGGGAGUAUUUAUAGGACAGAGAGUAAAGAGUGGUGGAGCGUGAGGAAAAAGGCGCGUGAAGUGAAGUGUUGGGCCCGUGUGAGUGGGGAGUCAAAGAAAGAAUUUGAAGGGCAGUGUUUGCGUGCAGUGCAUGUGCAUGGGGGCGCAUUGCAUUUUCCUUUCGUUUGGUCUUAUCUCCGUUAACUGCUAUUUUGUAUCUCUUUUAAUUAUUCCUUAUUUUGGGCAUUCAUUAAUUAAUAUGAGACCAUAUUUAAACUUUUGAUGAAUGGUAGUGAUAAAUAUAUAUAAUCUCGAAUAUAAAUCGUAAAAUUAACAUUAAAUAAAUAAAUAUAUAUAAUAUAUGUGAUAAAAUUUAUCAUUAGUAAUAUAGAUAAAGAUCACAGUGGAAUUUACUUCUUCGAUAUUUACAUAUUAUUAGUUUUAUAAUUGUUUAUACAAUGUUUAAAAUUAUAUAUAGCUCCUCUUAAAGGAUAAUGCGCACUCACUGAGUUAGGACUCAAUCGAUAACAAUCUUACAAAUUUUAUUUUAUAUAAAAAGAAGAGCUUCCAUUUUUUAUUAAAAAAUUACAGAUACAAUUGUGUUUAUUUUGAACAAAUGAAUUAUUCAUAUGAAUAUACAUUUUAGGGUAAAUAUUUAUAAAAAUUAAUUUUUUAAACUGGUAUGGUGAUUAACUAUUUAUAUUUAGGGUUUUGCACAGUUUUGUAUACGAUGGUGUAUUAAAUCCUGUGAAAAUAUUUCAAUGGAGAAGGGAGAAUUCAGUCUAUGACAUGAAAUUCAAAAUAGGAUGCCUGCUUUAUUAUUAUAAAUAUUGAUUCAUGCCGUCACCAUUAUUAUUUUAAAUCCUCUAAAUGAUUUAUAUAUUUAUAUAAUUUUGGAUAAUUUAAUUUAUCUUUUAAUGGAAAUGUUAAAAAAAUAAACUAUUAAAAUAGUCACUUUUGUUUACCUUAUAUUACAUUUUAGUUGUUGUAACAUUUUAGUCACUGAGCGGUUAAGUGUCAUUAAUAAUAUAAUGGUAAGCUAAUAUGGCAUGUUAAAUCAUCAUUUCAAACAAAAAAUUCAGGUUAAAUUAUACAAUUGGUCCAAUAUUUCUCUGUUUUGAACAAUUUUUUUCUUUAUUUUCCAUUCUCUUUUAUUUCUCUCUUUGUUUUCCUCCCUUUUUCAUUUUUUUAACUUAAUUUUUCUAUGUUUUCUAUUUGUUAAAACUAGUCCCUAUACUUUUAUUUUUUUGAACAUUUUAAAAUUUUUAAUUUUCCUUUUCUUCUUCUCCUUUAGUUUUAACAAAUGAAAAAUAUAGAAAAAUUACAUUAAAAGAGAUAGAAAAGGGAGAAAAACAGAGGAAGAAGUAGAAGAGAAAGAAAAAUAAAGAAAUUAAAAUGCUCAAAACGAAAAUAAUAUGGGGACCAAAUAUAUAAUUUAACCUAAAAUUUUUGUUUGAAAUGAUGAUUUAAUGUGCCACAUCAGCUUACCGUUACAUCGUUAACGGCUCAGUGACUAAAAUGUUACAACACGUUAACAUAAAUGACUAAAAUGUAACAUUUCAAACAUAACUGACUAAAAUAUAAUAAACUAAAGCAAACAAAAAAGUGACUAUUUUGAUUGUUUCCCUUUAAUAAAUGGUUCAUUACAGUAAUAUAUUAAAUUUAUUCUUAUUUUGUAUUAUUUUUCACAUGUGUAAUAUUCUGAUUAUUUUUUAAUGUUUAAUGUACUAACGUUUAAAUUUAUUCCAUCAUAGCCCAAGAAAAAUAAUAAGAAAUAGACGAUAAGAUUGAAGUAAUAUUUUUUCCAAAAUAACAAGCUUGCAUUCAUGCAUGAGAAUUAUUCAUCACCAUGUGCUAAAGACUUGGACUGUUUGUCAAAGUUUUCUUCAGAAAAAUCAUAUAAUUUAUAAUGGAAGUAUAAGCAGAGUCAGACCAACCAAAGAAGAAUCAUGAUAUCAUCUUUUUUUAUUGCCCAGUAUUUAUUUAGCAAAUAUUGACCGUAAUAUUGUCAUGGUCAGACCAUAUUAUUUUUGCACAAGUGACGCACGAAUAUUCAGUGUAGACUUGCUCAAAACAGUAGGAAAUGAUGAACAAGGUCAUUUCGUAGAAAUUGCAGUCAAUGCUCAUAUUUUGGCUUAAUCCAGCUGGAGUUUAGGUAAAAAUUGAUUCAAAAUUGGAUAACUAUAUAUAUAAUAUUGAUAUCAUAAAUAAGUUAUUUUAAUCCAAGUCAGUUCAAUCCAUGAAUACCUUUAAUAUGUAUACAUGAUAUGAUAUGUGAAAAAUGAGCUCAACUCAUGAAUAUUUCUCAUAUGUAUGCAUGCUUGAUGCAUGAUAUGUGGAAAAUAACUUAACUUGUUGUAUAGGUUUUGUACGGAGUAUGGACGGCAUUUAUAAGUUCAUUUUUGGAACUUGUAUUUUAGAGUGCAGUUGAGAACGUAAAUAAGUUUGUUGAAGUUUUCAGGGGGAGAAUUUAGAGGUGAGUAAUCUAGAUCUUUUGGUACAAAGUGAGGUUGCUCUAGCAGGAUGUGAUAAGACUUGAAUCAUUUGGUGUAUUGGGUUAAAAGAUAGUGGAUUUACUUACUAAGUUAGGCUUCACAAAUAAAGUAAAACUAAACUACGUAAACAACCUUUUGUGUUCUUGUUUUGUUGUUUUUGUCACAAUGCUACCUUCAAUUGGCAUAUCGCAAUUGAAGAAGCAAAAGUUUGUCUGGAAGAAGAAAGAUCCUAAGUGCUUGAUGUACAGUGUUUCGGUAAUGGUUGCUUUCAUCACAUGAUAGGUAAUCAUGCAUACUUUUCUAAUUUUGGAGAUCAUCAUAAGGGUCUAGUCACAUUUGGUGAUGGUAAGAAAUGUCAUAUCCAUGGAAACGGAACACUUAAUGUCCUUGGAAUGCUAAAGUUGAAGAAUGUGUUGAAAGGUCAUAUUGUUAAUGACUUGAAAGCUAAUUUGGUGAGCAUUAUCUAAAUGUGUGACUAAGGCAUGAUUAUCAAUUUCACCAAAGACAAGUAUCUGGUUUCAUCAAAGUCUUAUGAGAAGACUAAUGUUUCUAACUUAGAGUUGUGGCAUGAGAAACUUAGCCACAAUCAUUACAAAGGGCUCCGAAGAUUGGUUUGAUAUGUUGCUGGAAUAGGCAACCCAAAACUAGGUGGUGUCAUUCCUAAAGUCCGUUAUGGAUGCUUGAAAGUUAGAGAGGAUCACAUGGAGAAUCAUCAAAGGUUGUCACAUAUCCAAAUUAUUGCAUCUCUCAAGUUACUACACAUAGAUCUCAUUGGACCUAUGUGAAUCGAGAGCAUUGGAGUAAACCGUUAUGUCCUAGUCUAUGUAGAGGACUUUUCAAGGUACACAUGGGUGAGAUUUUUUAGAGAAUUCUAACACAUCUAAAGAAUUCAGGAAACUAUGCAGAAGAUUUUGUCAAUUUUUAUGACGAGGAAAUGAUCAAACUAAGGCACCGCAAUAUAAUGGAGUUAUGGGACACAAGAACCGUACCAUAUAGGAGAUGGCAUGAGUGUUGCUUAACAACAAAAGAGUUACUCAUAAGUUUUAAGUUGAGGCAGUGAACAUUGCAACCUAUAUCUUUAACAAAGUUCUUACUAGGCGAAAAACUCACAUGACACUUUGUAAGAUGUGAAAUGGGAGGAAGCCAAAUGUCAAGUAUUUCCAUGUGUUUAGAAGUACCUUGAUAGGUGUCGAAUCCACCAAAAAUGAAAUCCUACCCCUAAACAGGAUAUAAAUUAGAAGUUUAAGGAGUAAGGUCGAUCCCACAAGGACUAAUUUAUAUGAACUUGUAGUUUGUUAUAACCAGGACGUAUCGUAAGCAGUUUUGUGCCCAUGAUUUAUGCUAACCUAUACGAAAUAGAAAGAAGGAUUAAAUAUGAAUGUAACUAAAUGUCAAAAAUUAAAUAAUAAUAAUGCAAUAGAAAUAAUCAAAUCAGAAUUAAAAUUGAAUAACCUAAUAAGAUGGAUUUUGACUCUGGCUUUGGAUUGAUCCCAAACAAUGGAUUUUUUCCUCCAAUUGAUAAGUCGGGUAUAGUGACCAAGGAACAACCUCAAAUACCAACCCUUUCGUAUGUAAAUUAACUGCGGGAACAACUCUAAGUUAACCCGUACCAGGUAAAUAACACUGAAAGCAACUUCCAUGAUUUCAUUCCUUGACAACCUCGCGAACUAGAGGGACUCAGCUCAAAUUGACAGCCUCAAUUGCAUGGGUCCACACGCCUACUACCUUUUCCAUCUUUGAUUUUCCAAGUUCUUUUGAAGCAAAAUCCAAGGUUUGUUUGAGCCACAGAGCAUCUUGAAAGAGAAGUUGCUAAGUUGAAAUUCUCUCCAAAAUGGCUCGAGGGAAAACAUGAAUCAAUAGCCCCAACUGAUCUAACUGAAGGAGAAGAAAAAGUUGAAUCUGACCUUGAAACUGUAGCAAUUGCUCCUAUAGUGACUAUUUCAGCAGGUCUUGUGAGCAACCUAGCAGGAUUCAAUCAAAGGAUGGUUAGCAUUUUACUGCUUCUAUUGACUCUCAAAAUUGAUUCAUCUCCAAACUUCGAACUGAAAUCCAAGUCAUUCAACAGAUUCGAGAUCAAGAAAUUGCUUUCCGCAAUGAUUUAUUAACUCAUUCCGAACAAUAAUGUUUGACAUAUUUUUAAAAAAAAGGGAAGUAAAGAGGAAGGAGAUGAUGGCUAAGAUGGUGGCAAGUUGAUUGCUCCUACUAAUGGGAGUUUAUUUUACUUUUGGUUAUUACAAGCUUCAUUUCAUUUUGGGUAUUUCUUUUGAAAUAUUUGUAAUGAUGAACUUUUCUAAUGGAUGGAUGGAUUUUAUUUUGGCGUACAAACUCUUAUCUUCAUCUUACUUAGAUAUAAUUUUAGUAUUUAGAUUGUUGAUACAAAUACUUAAAAGGCAUUAAUGGUUGAUUUACUUGAUUAUGUUUUAAGUUAAGUGUGACGGAUAAGGGGAUUGUACUAAGGGGAAGCAUUUUUUGUUACUGUUGAUAAGCUUCCUAAUUUGAAUUGGUUUUGUUCAAAAAAUUGUAGAAGCAAGUUUCAAAAGUGGCCAGCAAAGUGCCAACGGUAGUGGCCACUAUAGAUAGCAUUGCAAUAGACUCUAUUACUAGCCAUGUUUAGAGUUAGCUUGAAAACGAUGAUGAUAUUAUGAAAAUAUGAAAGUCCAUAUUAUAUUAGUUUUUAUUAUUUAUUGCAUUUUGCUAGUUUAGCUGGUGACACGUUCAAUAAAUAUAAUUUUAAAGGUAUUUUUGUUUUUUUAACUGCAAACUGUUUGGGCAAUAAAUUUAUUUCAAAAGUUGCUUUCAAAUGCUUUAAAAGUUACGGUGUAGUUUACACUAUUCUCAGGUUACAUGGCCUGAAUUUGUCUUUAAAAGAAAGGAAAGAACAAAAUACAAAAUGAAUAAAGAAAAAUCUUUCUGUUCUGUAUAAUCUAUCUACUCCCAUUUACCCGUAGGGUGGCGUUCUUCCGUUCAAUUUCAAUGGCAUUGAUAGAGGGCAGCUUCCACAAGAUGAGUUUAAUCAUCGCCAACUAAUCGUGAAUAACCAAUAUUAAUAAAUAAUCUCCAUUCUUCUCAACCGCCAUAACUGCUCCAUCAACCUGCUAUGUCGGGUGAAAUGGGAACGUACACCUGAGCUACACAAAGGGAUAUAUCUCCUUAGUAAGUUUCUACCAUGGGAGAUUGCCACUUUACCCCCAAAUAUAAGGCCAUCAUUACGUUUUCUCUAUGAAGAAGCCUUGGACACAUCCUUACUUGACCUAUUGUACUUCAUAUGGCUCUUGACUAGUUGCCCUGCUGCAAGUGCUGACAUGAGUGACAGCUCCCCGGCAAGGACAGCACCUGCUACAAUGGUUGCCAGCAUUCUAGAGUUUGCUCCUGGUGUCUCUUUGCUUGCACCCUUCACUCCAAGUAAGUUCAAACAGGCUGACUGAGAUGCAAGCUGUGUUCCACCACCAACGGUACCAACCUAAAAGAUACAGCAACAGAUAUAAUUAGGGGGAUUCAUAAAUACCCAGAUUCUGUUUUGGUAAUGAAAAUCCUUGUGAUGGAUAAUCAGACAGCAACAUAAUCAAUUACCUCGAUGGAAGGCAUUGUGACAGAGAUGUGGAGGUCCUUGCCCUCGUUAACAGCUUCCAUCAUAGUGAUGCAAUGAGAGCUCUCAACAUUUUGAGCCGGAUCUUGGCCCGUAGCUAUGUAGAUUGCAGUGACGAUGUUACUGGCGUGAGCAUUGAAUCCACCCAGAGCUCCAGCCAUAGCUGAUCCAGUAAGGUUCUUGAGCAUGUUAAGCUCAACGAGAGAUUCCACACUUGUCUUCAAGACCUUCCUAACCACAUCACCCUUAAUGAUGGCUUCGCAAACAACAGAUUUGCCUCGUCCUUCAAUCCAAUUUACAGCCGCUGGUUUUUUGUCGGAACAAAAGUUUCCUAUAUGGACAAAUUCAUAAAUUUCAGUAAUCCUAUAUAGAACAGUAAAAACAUAGAACACAAUUACAAGUCUAUGGAAAAGUGAAACUCACCAGAGAUGCCAAUGACAUCCAUGUCAGGGAAAUCAGUUUGAAGGAAAUCCAAAACAUUUUGGACUCCCUUGGAAACCAUGUUCAUCCCCAUAGCAUCACCUGUACUGCAAGUGAAUCUAAUAUACAGAUUCUUUCCAGCAAUUGCACAUUUGAUACCUUGGAGCCUGCCAAACCUACUUGAUCUGCAACCACCAAAAAGUCAAAAUUUUCAAUAUUAGCUUGAAUUUUAAAUCCUUCAAUAUGGAGUUCUAGAAAUAUCAACACAAACCUGUUGAAAACAACAGACAAGGUCUCGAAAUUAUCAGGGUCCUCCAAAUACAACUUCAAAUCAGCUGCCCUUUUCGCAGUACCGAACCUUACACAUGGAGCUCUUGUCAUACCAUCUUUCAAUAGAACACUUGUAGCUCCACCAGACAAAUGAAUAGCCUUACAGCCCCUAUUAGUGCUAGCCACCAAGCACCCUUCCGUGGUUGCCAUAGGAACCGAGUACUCUCUUCCAUUAACCAACAAAGGCCCGGAAAUUCCAACGGGAAUUUGCACGUAGCCAACCGGCAUCUCACAACACUGCCCUAAAAUCGACUCGUAAUCAAACCCAUCCAAGGGCAAUCCAGAUAACGACUUCCCUGUUAAUCUUUGCAACGCUUCCCGCCUGAUUGCG
rnacentral:lncRNA from 1 species